GGGGUUGUUAGGGGUUGAAAAUAAAAAAAAACAUAGCUCAAAAUAAAAACAUUUACAUAGUUUUUAUCUCCAGCUGUGGUUUGCUAGCAGAGUUGAAAAAGUGACUCAACAAUGACCCCAGAAGUCGGCCUAAAAUAUUUUUGCCCACACAUAUGACAACCUUUUCAUUGUUGUCCCAUGACAGACUAAGCUUUGCUCAACUUUUUCCAGCGCAAAAGUAAACUAUGUUUUUUAUGUAGGAAUCUAUUAUUAAAUAUGAUUAAAAUGUGUUUAUAAUUAAACAGAAAAUGUGUAGCUAGGAAUAAUGGUGCUAGCUAGGAACAACCCCUUCACUGAGAGACAUGAUGGUGGGUUUAAAAUAAAAUCUGUGAAAUUAAAUAAAUGAUACAAAGUCUUUUACCAAAAUUGUGCUUAUUAUUUAACUAAAAACACUCCAGGUUUGGUUUGUCCGUGCUUGUGAACAGACUCUGAUAAGAUCACAGGUGAGUCAUACCAGCAUCAAUGCAGAUUGUCAGUGCAUCAAACGCUACGACAGCUGCCGGUUUGACGUAACUCAUGCAGCCUUUUCAUCUUUUUUCUGCAGUCUCUCUCCCACACUAUGAAUAUAUGCAGAAUUAGGUUUUUUUUUAUGUAUUUAUUUGAGAGCGUUAACUGACCUUGAAAAAAUCAGAGUGAGUUUUCUUUUCAUCUCUGUGUGUUGAACAGAAGUGUUCUGUCUGUGUUGUCCUUUGCUGAGCAUCAUCUGGGAUUGGUCGAGAUGAUCAAUACAAGGAUAGGAAUAGGAGGAAGAGUAAUCACAUCAAAUACAAAUACAUUCAAAAAACCCACUGGACAGUAAGCAAUAAAAUAACGUUUAUUGAGGUGUAACAAAAUAAAUAAUCUGUUUCGCAACAUAACAAAGUAAGUUCAAUAACGCUCAGCAGACAGGAAAGUGUAACCGAUUCACAGGAGGCUACCUGAUGACACUAUUCUUCAGGGUAAAAAAAACUGGCAUUAAAGAAUCUACAGAUAUUACACCAAAAGUGUGAUGUUUUUUUUAAAUCAAUUCUGAUUGGACUUGUUGGUUAAACUUAGUUACAACAAUCAACAAUCAAGUACCAUGAAAGGUCCGUUUGUAAAGUUCUGCAUGUGUUUUUGUUUCCUCAGAUGUGGAAGUUGUCCUUCGACAAGAGUCAGUUUGAUUGCAACCUAUUCACGCCUCCUCAGGAUGUUACUGUCAUCUGAACAACAAGCCAGCAAGAUCCAAAGCCUACAUCUCUGACUCUGAGCAUGACUUCAUUUUAUGAAGACACAACUGAAGGGAAUAGAAUAAUCACCUUUUAAAUACAACCGAGUUUAGAAAAUCUUCCAUAUACAGUAAGUGAAACACUGUCUGGAACCCAACAGGUGGAAACCAAUUAUUUUUUGGACAAAUACCAGGCGGCCAUUUGUCCUGACAUCCUGUUAGACAAGGGUGCUUGAGAGUAAAUACUACAUGCAAGGAGGUACAAAAUAUCUCUGGACCUAGGGACAGCAGCCUCAUAUUUUUCCAAAAUGUUUUCCAGGCAGAGGUCGUUAAAUAAUUUGUCAUUGUUUAAUGUUGAUUUUAUCACA